AGGAAGGUAAGAUCAUAGAGUCACAGAAUGGUUUGGGUUGGAAGGGACCUUUAUGAUCAUCUAGUUCCAACCUCCUGCUACAGUCAGGGACAUAUCCAUCCAGAACAGAUUACUCAAAGCCCCAUCCAGCCUGGCCUUGAAUACUUCCAAGAUGGAUGGAUGACUAAAUGGAAGGAAGAAAGGAUGGAAGGAAGGAAGGUUGGGUUGGCUUGGUGAAAGGCUAGAUGAAUGGAUGGACACGUGCAGAAGAAUGAAUGGGUGAAAGGCUGGAUGGACAGGUAGAUGGACAAAGAGAUGUAAGGAUAGAUACACAACCCUAAGGAUGAAUGAAGAGCGAAUCAGGCUGUCCCAGAUGGAUAACCAGACUGCCUCCAGUACUAUAAUCUUCUGAUCUCUUUCCAUUUACGGACAGAAAAUAAGAAUAAUUUUACUCUAUGUGUGUAUAUUCCAGCAAGAAGUCCAUUUGUCUCCUGCCCUCUAAAUGCAGUUUUCUCCUCCUUGAGAUCCCACUGACUCAGGAUGCUAAGCUCUAAGACAGGCAAUAUUUAGUGCCAGACAAAACACUGCGUGCAUAUAUAGCACCUCGUUAGCAUGCAGCGCUGGUGGCAUUAGUGGUGCUGAGCUGAGAUUACCUCGUUUCUGACCUAUUUGUCUCCCUUGCUAUCAGGGCCUGAGCAUGGAGCUGGCUGGAUCUUCAGCCAUCGGCUCUCGCUCACUGUGGGAGGAUUUUCAUUUCUCCUGGACUGGGCUGAAGUCAUAAGAGAGGACAAGAGAAAUAUUGCCCAUACCGGACAGCACAUCAGGGAAAAUUUCCAGUCUUCCUCUUUUACAGUCUCUGUCUCCUGCCGCGGAGGGAGCCAACUGGAACAAAAUACUCUGUAGAAAUACUUCAGUAUUUUCCUCUCUCUCGCGCGCUCUCUUUUUCUGGAUUGUGAGUACAGCUGUAGAUUCAGUGAGCUGGUUCAAUUAUAAUAAAAUAUACAGUAUAUAUU
rnacentral:lncRNA from 7 species